rnacentral:rRNA from 1 species
AGUGAACGCUGGCGGUAGGCCUAACACAUGCAAGUCGAACGGCAGCACAGUAAGAGCUUGCUCUUACGGGUGGCGAGUGGCGGACGGGUGAGGAAUACAUCGGAAUCUACUUUUUCGGGUGGGAUAACGUAGGGAAACUUACGCUAAUACCGCAUACGACCUACGGGUGAAAGCAGGGGAUCUUCGGACCUUGCGCGAUUGAAUGAGCCGAUGUCGGAUUAGCUAGUUGGCGGGGUAAAGGCCCACCAAGGCGACGAUCCGUAGCUGGUCUGAGAGGAUGAUCAGCCACACUAGAACUGAGACACGGACCAGACUCCUACGGGAGGCAGCAGUGGGGAAUAUUGGACAAUGGGCGCAAGCCUGAUACAGCCAUACCGAGUGGGUGAAGAAGGCCUUCGGGUUGUAAAGCCCUUUUGUUGGGAAAGAAAAGCAGCAGGUUAAUACCCCGCUGUUCUGACGGUACCCAAAGAAUAAGCACCGGCUAACUUCGUG